rnacentral:rRNA from 1 species
GGUGGCGAUGGCUUGUCUGCCCUCGUGUCUUGAGAUGUUAUGGUUAAGUCCGGCCACGAGCGCAACCCUUGUCUGUACUUGCCUCAUUAAGUUGGGGACUCUAACGAGACCGCCAGUGUAAACCGGAAGAAGGAGGGGAGGACGUCAAAUCAUCAUGCCCUUUAUGUCCUGGGCGACGCACGUGCUACAAUGGCCGUUGCAAAAAAAAACAAAACCACCAGGUCAAGCAAAUCUCAUAAAGACGGUCUCAGUUCGGAUUGGAGUCUGCAACUCCACUCCCUGAAGUCGGAAUUGCUAGUAAUCGUAGAUCAACCAUGCUACGGUGAAUACGUUCCCGGGUCUUGUACACACCGACCG